CCGGGCUGGUUGGUGAAUAACGAGUGAAAUGUCUGACUGGAACGUGUCCCCCCGGAGCCUCAGAAAAGGGAGAUGUGCCCUGCUUUGGGGUUUCACCGAGCUGGGAGGCUGAGGGCUGCUCAGGAGGGGAUGAGCCGUGUCCCCUCCUGAGGCGUGAGGGGACAGAGUAAAACCCUAUGCACCCUACCCCGCCGUCCUCAGCCAUUCUGUUCUCCAGCUGCAAAAACAGAUUUCCCCAAUGUGUUGACUCCAAGAUGAAUAAACAGGGGAAAACAAGAAAGAAGAGUGGGAAAUGAAGGGAAAUUAAAUGCAGUGUGUGUGUAAGGGACCAAAUAAAUGCCAUGAUUCCACCAAGGAACAGACUAAUGCGCGUUACAAUAUACAGCUCAUCAGUUCGUCACUGCAUCUUUCAUGUAAAGAUCUGGAAGACAUACGUUGUACUGCACUCCUCUGUGCUGCGGACCUUAAUCUUUGAAAUUGAGGACUGCAAGAAAAAAAGAAGUGAGAUAUCUUCUCCAAGAUUAGCCUGCACACUACUGACAAACUGGAGUACAGUCCACCUCCUCACUUCGUAUAACCCACUAGAUACGUUCUCCUGAACGAAGUGACAGAUACGGGAUUGAGAUGCGACUGGGAUUAUCGAUGUGUUACAAAACCAGUGGGGCUGCCUUGGACACUCUCGUGUUGGAAGAGCUGAUUGGGAAGGUGGCAUUCAUUAACGGGAGUGAUGACCUCUCUUUCUUCACACCUGGCUCAGGCAGUCCUCCUGGGAAAGAAGCAGCUGUGUGGAUGAGGCAGCUAGCAAACAAUCUCAUCUGCCAUGGGAUGCUGACAAGCCUGAGGACUGAGCAGCACUGUUCAAGGAGACACAGGGUGCCCCAGUUGUGAUUCCCUUGUCUUCCUUCCUUAUCACAUCUUCUCAUCACGUAUCCUUUCCUAAAAGCUAGUGAAAGGAAUCUGUGGCAAAAAAUGCCCAUUUAGAAGAACACCAGAUCAUUCUAAAUUGAUCACAGCAGUUCUCAGAGUCCUUGCUUGGCAUGGCGAAGGCCAGCACACAGAGAACAUGACAUAUUCCAGCUCUGGGAGGAGUUCACAUUCCCCUGCAACACUCGCCAGCAACUUCUUUCAAUAUCUAUGUCUUCAAAGUUGGUAUUACAAGGCAGUGUCGUGUUAGGCUCUGGCAUUAAGCAUAAAGCUCCCCGUGUCGUUACUGCUGCGAAGAUCAGAGCUUUUUCGCUGUCACUGUGUGGCAGCACUGCUCCACAAAAUGCACGCUGCCGAUUUCCCUUCAGCUUGGAGACCAGGUGCCUUCCAAUUAUGAGAUUCUUAAGAUGUGAACGAGGAUCAUCAUUAUGAAAUAACAUUGGAUGCUAUAACAGACGAUAUAAAGAAGGCAUUCAUUCCUGUCCUUAGUACCUUGGUACAUGACUUCCAUGCUACGAUUCUUGACACAUUCAGCCGUAGGAACCUGGGCACGUCAAGAGCUUUCAUGGAGAUGAGCAGCAUAUAUUUGGACAUCUGAGAUAAUCAGCUUAUAACCAUGAAGAGGACAAAAGAUCCUGAUCUAUUUCUACAAAGGCAGAUCCUGUUCUGGCUUCUGAGCAGCUGAGUAGGAGAGCACACAAUAUGAGGAUUCCCUAACUGUGAUCAGAGAGGUCCAUGCUACAACAUUAGAUCAAGAUUUCCCCCA